UCCCCUGACGGUAUCUAACCAGAAAGCCACGGCUAACUACGUGCCAGCAGCCGCGGUAAUACGUAGGUGGCAAGCGUUGUCCGGAUUUAUUGGGCGUAAAGCGAGCGCAGGCGGUUUCUUAAGUCUGAUGUGAAAGCCCCCGGCUCAACCGGGGAGGGUCAUUGGAAACUGGGAGACUUGAGUGCAGAAGAGGAGAGUGGAAUUCCAUGUGUAGCGGUGAAAUGCGUAGAUAUAUGGAGGAACACCAGUGGCGAAGGCGGCUCUCUGGUCUGUAACUGACGCUGAGGCUCGAAAGCGUGGGGAGCAAACAGGAUUAGAUACCCUGGUAGUCCACGCCGUAAACGAUGAGUGCUAAGUGUUGGAGGGUUUCCGCCCUUCAGUGCUGCAGCAAACGCAUUAAGCACUCCGCCUGGGGAGUACGACCGCAAGGUUGAAACUCAAAGGAAUUGACGGGGGCCCGCACAAGCGGUGGAGCAUGUGGUUUAAUUCGAAG
rnacentral:rRNA from 1 species